UGGUAUCGCUACCAACGUAAAACCGAUCGCAGAUACUUUCGUAGCCAAACAUUUCACUACUCCGCAGAGUUAGACCCGCACGGCGCGCGCCAAUGCUGCUUUCGAACCUGCGUUUUGGAUUGGAGCAGCGCUGGUCGCAGAUGACGAGCGUAGCAGUCACUUUUCGUAAUUCAUCCAGGUGAGCUGCGUCUCUGGCGGUUGGCGGACCCAACUCGAACCUACAACAAUUACAGUUGAAGACAGCGCGAAAGUGUGCGCCCACGAUACUCGUGAUUCAGUGCUCGGGACUCCCAGCACCGCAGACGCCGGACAUCCCGGUCUGAGUACUUUUCUUGUGGCAGAAUUCGUGAAGUGUCCCUAAAGUGAAAGAAAUUGUGACGAAGGUGCUGCAUAAGAAAUUCUGGUUACGCAAUAUACGAGUGCACGCAGUGUUGUCGGUGGCGGGAUAGUGGCCCAGCCAAAAAAGGAAUGCUCGUGCUCGAAAAGUGCUAAGUGAUCGCUCGAGAAGGAAGUUACUGGAUUUGGCCUUGCGUAGUCGCCUAUCAAAUCGUGCUUGACGUGCAACCAGCCUUUUGGAUUACUCUCCAUCAUCCGCCAAAGGAUUACAAAACUAACCCCAAAGACCAUUGACGUGUUUCUCCUGCGCCGACCAUGGGACAAGAAAGAGGAUUCGAGUCAGCCGCAAUUUGAAGAUCACCUCCAUUAGUAAGCGAGCGGCACCGCGUCUGAAGCCUCCACAAACGCUGUAGAAGACACUACUCACUAAAUUGAUCCCGGAAAAAUGAUCUGAAUUUCACAUUGAAAAUGUCUCGCCGUGAUUUAUUGAGAUUCGAAGUGUAUCCAAAUCAUUAGUUUCCGCACGAGGUAUCUUACACUGUCGCGGAUUUGUUAUUGUUUCCGUUGUUUUCUGUCUGCUUCAACUGUUGCUUCCUUUGAAUUUUUGUAGAAAUUCCAGUGUUCUGUCCGUGUUUUUGCUUAUUCAAGCUUUGCAUCGUUUUGUUGCCUUUGUUUGUUGAAAGUGCAUUAAAUUUGUUUCGUUUGUUCUCAUUACUGAGUUCAGAAAAGUGCUGUCCAGGUGGAUAACGUGAUUUUUAUUCAGUCCUUCAAUAUGAUAGUGCGGUGGUUAUUUUUUGUUAGUUUCCUAUUUUUAACGCUAUUUCAAUUUUCCCGGGGCCAUGUAGCACUCACAUUUCCACCGGCGCGGAAAUAUGAUUUGGAUUUCUUAGAUAACUCGAGGACGAAACCUCCUUGCGGAAUGCCGAAAGGGGAUAUACGCACGUCGUUCCUGUCAGGAUCAAGCUUCAACGUUACUUGGCAUCUAGCAUAUCCACAUCGAGGUGGAUUUCGAUUACAAAUAUUGGACCCUCUGGAUAGGCCUGUGCUUGAUUUGACACCAUCUUUCAAUGGAUCCGAAUUUGUCCGGACGGACGUUACAGCUCAAUCCUAUGGAGUACAAAUUCCCAAUGAUUUCACCUGCCUUAAUUGCACACUACGACUUCUCCGUCAAGCAGAUGAAUGGUCCAAUGGAUACCGAUUUUGGUCAUGCUCGGAUAUCGAUAUCAAAGAAAGAAAAGCAUUCCGAGAAACCUGCUCCGGAAAUGGGAAACAUUUCUCUCGAUGCAAAUGCAACAAGAACUACUAUGGCAGUAGAUGUCAAUAUCAUGACGAAUGUACUGUGAACCAGGAUUGUGGAAUUCAAGGACAAUGCAUAGAUCUCAAGGGAACAGCUUUACCAAGGAAACAGUGCUUCUGUAACUUUGGAUUCUUUGGUCCUGGAUGCAAUAAGAGAACCCCAUAUAAAUCCAUGAAAUUCGACUUUUCCAUCUACUCUAAACGGGAGCUUUCGCCAGACUAUACUAUCUACUGGCGAAUUCUUGAAGAAUCAAAGGAAAUUGAAAUGGCAAUGAUCGUCAAUGGAACUUCAUGGGUGGGCCUUGGAUGGCGCCCGAGAAAUCUUACAGCAACAUGUAAAAAUUUCCCAGUAAUACAAGACUCACUGCAGAAAUCAGACGCUUCAUCACCCGAACCACUACCAAAGCCAGAACCAAAGUCCGAGCCGGAACCUAAAUCUGAACCUGAACCGAAAUCAGAGCCAGAGCCAAGUUCAGAGCCCGAACCAACCUCAGAACCUGAACCAAAAUCGGAAGCAGAGCCGAAAUCAGAGCCAGAACCAAAAUCGGAACCAGAGCCAGAACCAAGUUCUGAACCUGUACCUACAACAGAACCGGAGCCAGCUUCGGAGCCAAAGGCCGAGCGCUUCACAACAGGAGAGCCUUCUCCUGAAGCGGCUGGCAAGUCUCUUCAACCUUCGCUCAAAUCUAAACGUGUGGCAUCAGAGUUUCAAGCAACGAAAUCCCCCGAAAUUACGGUAGCAACCAGCGUUUCGUAUCGCGUUAGUGCCGUAGCAGGUCGAAGGCGACGUGACACACCGACUACAAGUAUCCCCACACCAGAACCGUCAAGUAAAGAACCAUCCGCAGAGCCCGAACCUUCCUCCGAACCGGAGCCUUUUUCCAAAUCCGAACCUUCCACCGAACCCAAACCAACUUCCGAACCGGAACCAAAAUCUGAGCCAGAACCUCAAUCCGAAUCCGAACCUAAAUCAGAACCUGAGCCCAAAUCAGAACCAGAACCCUCUUCCGAACCUGAGCCCUCUUCCGAGCCUGAACCCACUUCCGAACCUGAACCCUCUUCGGAACCUGAGCCCUCCUCCGAACCUGAACCAUCCUCAGAACCCGAACCCAAAUCACAGCCUGAACCUUCUGCACAGUCAGAACCUUCACCUGAACCUGAACCAAAAUCAGAACCAGAACCAUCAUCCGAGCCCGAACCGAAAAGUAAAAACGAGUCUGCAUCUAGACAAAUUACUAAACCUACAGGUACCCAACCAAAGAACUUAAAUCCCUAUACGCCAAGACACGACUUCAAUGCAAUGGAUUGUACAGACAUAAUUAUUGGAAGCGCCCGAGGUAAAACUAGCCGAAUAGGUGAUUUUUACACACGAGAUCGUUCUACUCCAAGAGUGGACGAAUUCUGGGGUGGCAAAUCGCAUCUCACAGCUGCUGCUGGCUUCGAAGAAAACGGGGUCACGACUAUAAUAUUCAGGAGGAAGCUACAAGCGGAUGAGCCAACGGAUCACAGUAUUAUCGACGAUCUCACUCAUGUUAUUUGGGCUAAAGGGCAAGAACCAGGUAAAUAUGUACACGUCCCUCUGUCAGGAUUAGAGAAGGAGAAAGCAACCAUAUUGGAAUUCUACCAGCCGGACGAGCUGAAAUAUCAUGGACAUAAGAUGCAACGGGGUAUAACGCAAAUUAACUUCCUUGCAAAAGAGGAAAAAGCACAUGAAGACGCAGCUUCCGGAAACUUACUUGACAACGAUUGUAUGGGACAUUGGAGACACCCACACGGUUGCUCAGUGGAGGAACACAAUUGCGAAUACUAUGCCCAUUGGCAAACCGUGGGGCGUGGCGAUGAGAUGAGGUGGUAUAUCGAAACUAAAAAUACGCAGACAUGGACUGGAGUUGGAUUCAGUGAAAACGAAAAAAUGUCGCAAACUGAUGCCAUCAUCGGAUGGGUUGACCAAAGAACGGGACGACCGUUUCUGAUGGAUACCUGGAUUAACGGUUAUUCGGGUUCGAAGUUGGAUGGUCGACAAGAUAUCUAUAAUACUUCAGGACAUAUUGAAAAAGGCGUAACAAUAUUGGAAUUCACAAGGAAAAGAAGAAGUAAUGAUGAUCAGGACUUGUCUUUCACCGAUGACCAUUGCCUGUACGUUUUCUUCCCUGUCAAGGGCGGUGACUUCAACCCCGUAAAUAAGAAAAUUCGAAAACAUGACCAAAUUCCAGUUGUAACAACAUCGCGCGUGUGCAUUAAGUCAUGUGGCUUAGCCGAAUUAACGUCGAUUGUUGGAGGCCCAACAACUCCUGCGCCAGACCGAAUUGCUUACAAUGUGGGCGUCAAGCUUACAAAUCUGGCGGAAUCUUUUGACGCACCUGAAGAAAAUACGGUCGACUUCAAAAAUCUUGCAGCAACCAUAUCCGACUCCUUCAAUGGUAUACUGAGCGAUGUACCUGGAUAUUACAAAGUUGAUGUUCAAAAAUUUGUGAAGGACGGAACAACAAUGAUUGCUAACAUGAACAUACUAUUGGAUAAAGCUGCAUUCGAAAAAAGUCAACAAGGAAAAGUUCAGAAGGCAUCAUUCGGUGAUGAUGUAUACGAGGACAGCGUAGUGAAAACGAUAAUUUCCAAAAGCCUAGCAAGUGGCAGAAUAGGAUCAUUGACUGUUGACCCUAUGUACCUGGAAUUCUAUAAUUUAGAUUAUAACGCAAUGAAUACCAAAGAGAAAUCAGCGGCGGAAUCAUUCUUCAAUUUAUCAGAAACCCGACUCUACAUAGUUUUAGGAUGUAUAAUUGCAUUAGUGUUAAUCGCUCUAAUUCAAGCAGCUUGUACUAUUUAUAAAACGACACGCAAGAGCAGAAACCAAAAGCUAAUAUAUAUAAUACCUGAGGAAUGGAGGAUGUAUCAGCAGCAGUACUACCCGUCUAGCGUUCUAUAAAUUACAAGCAAUGAAUCGGAUAUUGUGCUUUCUCGUACAAAUAAACGCAAAUGCGAAAAUAGCAAUGAUACGUGUUCUAAAAAUGUAGAUAUUAAAUUGUUUGAAUCGAGUUACUGUUACCAAGCCAAGUUUUAAUUUCCUGCAUUCCUUCAAUGUUCAUGUGAUGCGAAAAAUGGCUAUGAUUGUAACAUAAUUAUUUGUUAUUGAUGUUUGAAACACUUUGAAUGGAUGCCUUCGCCAAAGAUUAUAAAUAAUACUCAUGUAUGGCGGUUGUGAACGAUUUUGUUGUCUACUCUGCUACCACUACUACGUUUCAGUGAAAUCGGAUCAACUCAUACCAAAUUCAGCAUGGAAAGACUACUCAGCCAACACAAACUAUGCUUUUGAGUCCUUCGGCGAAACAGAGGAGAAGUCCUCUAAAUCGCAAGGGCGUGACCGUGAUCGUGAUCGGGGUCGCAGUUCC
rnacentral:misc_RNA from 1 species